rnacentral:rRNA from 1 species
UCGCCUGUUUUUCAAAAACAUCGCCAUAAUUUUUUUUUGGUAGAAUCUGCCCAGUGAAUUGUCUUAAACGGCCGCAGUAUCCUAACUGUGCUAAGGUAGCAUAAUCAUUAGUUUUUUAAUUAAGAACUCGUAUGAAUGAUUUGACGAGAGACUCUCUGUUUCAGUGAGACAAAAUAAAUUAAGAGAGGGAUUAAAACUUCUCUAGCUUUCAAAAGGACGACAAGACCCUAUAAAACUUUACCUUUCUUAAAAUUCUCUUCUAAGAAAUUAAUUUUUUAUAUAGAAGGUUAUACUGGGGCGGUAAAUUUUAUUCUAGCCAAAAUAUAUUAAAACAAAUUUAAUGGACUCUACGAACACUCUUAAGUAAUAAAGAACAAGUUACUUUAGGGAUAACAGCGUGAUCUUCCUCUAGAGCCCUUAUCGACAGGAAAGUUUACGACCUCGAUGUUGAAUUGAGACCCCUAGUUAAAGCAGCUUUUAUCUACAGGAAGUCUGUUCGACUUUUAAAUUCUCACAUGAUCUG